CAUAGAACAUGCAAACUCCACUGGGAAUUGAACCAGGAACCUUCUCGUCAGGGUUUUUUUGACAAUUUUUUUGGAGGCGAAGCUGAGGAACAGAACGAGCAGACCUGAAGAUCUCCACGCGAUCGAAGAACUCAGAGAAACGGUGACGAAGAGAGAAGCGCUGAAGAAUGGAAGACGCUGCAGCGCUCAGCACAUUCAAGAGGCCCACAGGAGAGAAUCUGCACGAAGUCACGACACACGG